rnacentral:misc_RNA from 1 species
GAUGAAGAACGUAGCGAAAUGCGAUAAGUAAUGUGAAUUGCAGAAUUCAGUGAAUCAUCGAAUCUUUGAACGCACAUUGCGCCCGCCAGUAUUCUGGCGGGCAUGCCUGUUCGAGCGUCAUUUCAACCAUCAAGCCCCCGGCUUGUGUUGGGGACCUGCGGCUGCCGCAGGCCCUGAAAACCAGUGGCGGGCUCGCUAGUCACUCCGAGCGUAGUAGAUUUUCAUCUCGCUCAGGGCGUGCUGCGGGUUCCGGCCGUAAAAAGCCUUAUUUACCCAAGGUUGACCUCGGAUCAGGUAGGAAGACCCGCUGAACUUAAGCAUAUCAAUAAGCGGAGGA